UACGGAGGGUGCGAGCGUUGUCCGGAAUCACUGGGCGUAAAGGGCGCGUAGGCGGCCUGAUAAGUAGGGGGUGAAAUCCUGCGGCUUAACCGCAGGGCUGCCUUCUAAACUGUCAGGCUAGAGCACAGUAGAGGCAGGUGGAAUUCCCGGUGUAGCGGUGGAAUGCGUAGAGAUCGGGAAGAACAUCAGUGGCGAAGGCGGCCUGCUGGGCCCUACCUGACGCUGAGACGCGAAAGCGUGGGGAGCGAACCGG
rnacentral:rRNA from 1 species